CAUGCUUAAGCCCCGUUGCCUGGAAAGGGCCACGUUUUCCAGGAGGGCCUUCCUUGGGGAGGGGGAGCAAGGCUAUGUGCGUGGGAGCGGGGCCUGAGGCAGAUGUGGGGCUUAGGGAGCGGCCCCUGGGGCCGGCUUCUCAAGGCUGACGCAUGUAACUCAUUUCCUCAUUAAGAGUUCUGAGAACAUCUGGAGCCGUUUGGCAGCCUCCUCCCUGGCUAAUCGCUUUGAUGCUUGUGUGAGGUGGGGAGCUGGACCGUGUUCUCCCUGGUGAGCAGACAGCGGAGGAGGCAGGGCCCUAAUUAGGCUGGAGCUUUUGUUUGUUUGUCCCAGAAUCCAGGGGCCUUCAUCCUUCCCCCUU
rfam:Sarcophilus harrisii ctg7180002455482, whole genome shotgun sequence.